rnacentral:rRNA from 1 species
UGGGGAAUUGUUCGCAAUGGGCGCAAGCCUGACGACGCAACGCCGCGUGGAGGACGAAGAUCUUCGGGUCGUAAACUCCUUUCGAUCGGGACGAAUGGCUGGUGGUCUAACACACCAUACGAGUGCCGGUACCGAGAGAAGAAGCCCCGGCUAACUCCGUGCCAGCAGCCGCGGUCAUACAGAGGGGGCAAGCGUUGUUCGGAAUUACUGGGCGUAAAGGGCGCGUAGGCGGCCUUCUAAGUCGAACGUGAAAUCCCCGGGCUCAACCCGGGAACUGCGUCCGAUACUGGAAGGCUUGAAUCCGGGAGAGGGAUGCGGAAUUCCAGGUGUAGCGGUGAAAUGCGUAGAUAUCUGGAGGAACACCGGUGGCGAAGGCGGCAUCCUGGACCGGCAUUGACGCUGAGGCGCGAAAGCCAGGGGAGCAAA